rfam:Ixodes scapularis strain Wikel colony gcontig_1108379332688, whole genome shotgun sequence.
CCCUGGCUAGCUCAAUUGGUAGAGCGCUCCACCUGUAAUGGAGAGGUCCCGGGUUCAAUACCCGGACCAGGCG